GAUGAACGCUGGCGGCGUGCUUAACACAUGCAAGUCGAACGGAAAGGCCCUGCUUUUGUGGGGUGCUCGAGUGGCGAACGGGUGAGUAACACGUGAGUAACCUGCCCUUGACUUUGGGAUAACUUCAGGAAACUGGGGCUAAUACCGGAUAGGAGCUCCUGCUGCAUGGUGGGGGUUGGAAAGUUUCGGCGGUUGGGGAUGGACUCGCGGCUUAUCAGCGUGUUGGUGGGGUAGUGGCUUACCAAGGCUUUGACGGGUAGCCGGCCUGAGCGGGUGACCGGCCACAUUGGGACUGCGAUACGGCCCAGUCUCCUACGGGCGGCAGCAGUGGGGAAUAUUGCACAAUGGGCGGAAGCCUGAUGCAGCAACGCCGCGUGCGGGAUGACGGCCUUCGGGUUGUAAACCGCUUUCGCCUGUGACGAAGCGUGAGUGACGGUAAUGGGUAAAGAAGCACCGGCUAACUACGUG
rnacentral:rRNA from 1 species